rnacentral:rRNA from 1 species
UACAGAGGUCUCAAGCGUUGUUCGGAUUUAUUGGGCGUAAAGAGCGUGUAGGCGGCCAGGUAGGUCUGCUGUGAAAACUCGAGGCUUAACCUCGAGCUGUCGGCGGAAACCAUCUGGCUAGAGUCCGGAAGAGGAGAAUGGAAUUCCCGGUGUAGCGGUGAAAUGCGCAGAUAUCGGGAAGAACACCCGUGGCGAAGGCGGUUCUCUGGGACGGUACUGACGCUGAGGCACGAAGGUCAGGGGAGCAAACGGG